rnacentral:piRNA from 1 species
AAAAGGAAGACUUUGAGAGCAGGA